rnacentral:tRNA from 1 species
UCCUCGAUAGCUCAAUGGUAGAGCACUCGGCUGUUAACCGAGAUGUUGUAGGUUCGAGUCCUACUCGAGGAGCCA